GACAGAGGGUGCAAACGUUGUUCGGAAUUACUGGGCGUAAAGCGCGUGUAGGCUGCUCGGAAAGUCGGAUGUGAAAGCCCUGGGCUCAACCUAGGAAGUGCAUUCGAAACUCCCGAGCUGGAGUCCUGGAGAGGAAGGCGGAAUUCUCGGUGUAGAGGUGAAAUUCGUAGAUAUCGAGAGGAACACCGGUGGUGAAGGCGGCUCUCUGGGACGGUACUGACGCUGAGACGCGAAAGCGUGGGGAGCGAACAGG
rnacentral:rRNA from 1 species